GGAUUCAAGGGUGUGGCGCGAGCGACUUCGGUCGCGAAGCAAUUGGAAGUGGUUCCAAGAAAAGCCUCUAAGCUUCAGUCUAACGAUGACCGUACCGCAAACCGACACAGGUGGGCGAGAUGAGUAUUCUAAGGCGCUUGAGAGAACUCGGGAGAAGGAACUCGGCAAAUUGGUACCGUAACUUCGGGAUAAGGUACGCCCUUGUAGCUUGACUGGCCUGCGCCAGGAGGGUGAAGGGGUUGCAAUAAACUGGUGGCUGCGACUGUUUAAUAAAAACACAGCACUCUGCAAACACGAAAGUGGACGUAUAGGGUGUGACGCCUGCCCGGUGCCGGAAGAUUAAAUGAUGGGGUGCAAGCUCUUGAUUGAAGUCCCGGUAAACGGCGGCCGUAACUAUAACGGUCCUAAGGUAGCGAAAUUCCUUGUCGGGUAAGUUCCGACCUGCACGAAUGGCGUAACGAUGGCCACACUGUCUCCUCCCGAGACUCAGCGAAGUUGAAGUGUUUGUGAUGAUGCAAUCUACCCGCGGCUAGACGGAAAGACCCCAUGAACCUUUACUGUAGCUUUGCAUUGGACUUUGAACCGAUCUGUGUAGGAUAGGUGGGAGGCUAUGAAACCGGAACGCUAGUUUCGGUGGAGCCGUCCUUGAAAUACCACCCUGGUUUGUUUGAGGUUCUAACCUUGGUCCGUGAUCCGGAUCGGGGACAGUGCAUGGUAGGCAGUUUGACUGGGGCGGUCUCCUCCCAAAGGGUAACGGAGGAGUACGAAGGUACGCUAGGUACGGUCGGAAAUCGUGCUGAUAGUGCAAUGGCAUAAGCGUGCUUAACUGCGAGACCGACAAGUCGAGCAGGUGCGAAAGCAGGUCAUAGUGAUCCGGUGGUUCUGUAUGGAAGGGCCAUCGCUCAACGGAUAAAAGGUACUCUGGGGAUAACAGGCUGAUACCGCCCAAGAGUUCAUAUCGACGGCGGUGUUUGGCACCUCGAUGUCGGCUCAUCUCAUCCUGGGGCUGUAGCCGGUCCCAAGGGUAUGGCUGUUCGCCAUUUAAAGAGGUACGUGAGCUGGGUUUAAAACGUCGUGAGACAGUUUGGUCCCUAUCUGCCGUGGGCGUUGGAUAUUUGAAGGGGGCUGCUCCUAGUACGAGAGGACCGGAGUGGACGAACCUCUGGUGUACCGGUUGUGACGCCAGUCGCAUCGCCGGGUAGCUAUGUUCGGAAGAGAUAACCGCUGAAAGCAUCUAAGCGGGAAACUCGCCUUAAGAUGAGAUAUCCCUGGAGGCUUGACCUCCUUGAAGGGUCGUUCGAGACCAGGACGUUGAUAGGUCGGGUGUGUAAGCGCAGUAAUGCGUUCAGCUAACCGAUACUAAUUGCCCGUAAGGCUUGAUCCU
rnacentral:rRNA from 1 species